UGCAUGUAUGAUUGAGUAAAGCCUUCGGGCGGUGAUGGAUGGCGGUGCGUCCCAUUAGGAAGUUGGCGGGGUAACGGCCCACCAAUCCUUCGAUGGGUAGGGGUUCUGAGAGGAAGGUCCCCCACAUUGGAACUGAGAUACGGUCCAAACUCCUACGGGAGGCAGCAGUGAGGAAUAUUGGUCAAUGGGCGAGAGCCUGAACCAGCCAAGUAGCGUGUGGGAUGAAGGCCCUUGCGGUCGUAAACCGCUUUUAUCAGUGAAUAAAGUGCACCACGUGUGGUGUCAUUGCAGGUAGCUGAAGAAAAAGGACCGGCUAAUUCCGUGCCAGCAGCCGCGGUAAUACGGAAGGUCCGGGCGUUAUCCGGAAUUAUUGGGUUUAAAGGGAGCGCAGGCGGGAGUAUAAGUCAGCUGUUAAAUAUCAGGGCCCAACUCUGUUACGCAGUUGAAACUAUAUUUCUUGAGUACGCACAGGGAUGGCGGAAUUCAGGGUGUAGCGGUGAAAUGCUUAGAUAUCCUGAAGACUCCGAUCGCGAAGGCAGCCAUCCGGAGCGUAA
rnacentral:rRNA from 1 species